rnacentral:rRNA from 1 species
UGAUUGACGAUGGAUCACCAGUGAGUGGCGGACGGGUGAGUAACACGUAGGUAACCUGCCCCGGAGCGGGGGAUAACAUUUGGAAACAGAUGCUAAUACCGCAUAACAACAAAAGCCACAUGGCUUUUGUUUGAAAGAUGGCUUUGGCUAUCACUCUGGGAUGGACCUGCGGUGCAUUAGCUAGUUGGUAAGGUAACGGCUUACCAAGGCGAUGAUGCAUAGCCGAGUUGAGAGACUGAUCGGCCACAAUGGAACUGAGACACGGUCCAUACUCCUACGGGAGGCAGCAGUAGGGAAUCUUCCACAAUGGGCGCAAGCCUGAUGGAGCAACACCGCGUGAGUGAAGAAGGGUUUCGGCUCGUAAAGCUCUGUUGUUGGAGAAGAACGUGCGUGAGAGUAACUGUUCACGCAGUGACGGUAUCCAACCAGAAAGUCACGGCUAACUACGUGCCAGCAGCCGCGGUAAUACGUAGGUGGCAAGCGUUAUCCGGAUUUAUUGGGCGUAAAGCGAGCGCAGGCGGUUGCUUAGGUCUGAUGUGAAAGCCUUCGGCUUAACCGAAGAAGUGCAUCGGAAACCGGGCAACUUGAGUGCAGAAGAGGACAGUGGAACUCCAUGUGUAGCGGUGGAAUGCGUAGAUAUAUGGAAGAACACCAGUGGCGAAGGCGGCUGUCUGGUCUGCAACUGACGCUGAGGCUCGAAAGCAUGGGUAGCGAACAGGAUUAGAUACCCUGGUAGUCCAUGCCGUAAACGAUGAGUGCUAGGUGUUGGAGGGUUU